UACGGAGGGAGCUAGCGUUGUUCGGCAUUACUGGGCGUAAAGCGCGCGUAGGCGGCUUUGCAAGUUAGAGGUGAAAGCCCGGAGCUCAACUUCGGAAUUGCCUUUAAAACUGCAUCGCUUGAAUCCGGGAGAGGUGAGUGGAAUUCCGAGUGUAGAGGUGAAAUUCGUAGAUAUUCGGAAGAACACCAGUGGCGAAGGCGGCUCACUGGACCGGCAUUGACGCUGAGGUGCGAAAGCGUGGGGAGCAAACAGG
rnacentral:rRNA from 1 species